AUCGCGGCGACGUGGGUGG
rnacentral:siRNA from 1 species